rnacentral:rRNA from 1 species
CACGUAGGCUGUAGUGUAAGUCAGGGGUGAAAUCCCACGGCUCAACCGUGGAACUGCCUUUGAUACUGCACAACUUGAAUCCGGGAGAGGGUGGCGGAAUUCCAGGUGUAGGAGUGAAAUCCGUAGAUAUCUGGAGGAACAUCAGUGGCGAAGGCGGCCACCUAGACCGGUAUUGACGCUGAGGUGCGAAAGCGUGGGGAGCAAACA